GUGCUAUCCACACUAGAACCACCCCCCUCCGGUCUCCACCUCUCAGAGAGAAGCAAAAGAAACAAAAAUGCUAUCCACGCUACAGCCUCCUCGCUCUCUCUCUCGCUUCUCUUUCCACCUUCCCUCCAUUAAACCCCGCUGUAUCACCUUUGCUCUUUCUUCAUCAUCCUCAACCUCACUGCCACUUGCCACUUCCGCCGUCGCAGACCAAUCCCCACAAUCCUCCCAAAUCCUCAGCAUCCGUCACUCCCUUCUCUCUCGCCACCUAACCGCAACCCAACUCGCCGAGUCCUACUUAACCCGCCUCAGGCUCACCGAGCCUCAGCUCAAAUGCUUCCUACACAUCUCCGACAACGUGUUAAAACAGGCCCAAGAGAUCGACGACAAGAUUGACAAGGGUGAGGAUGUGGGUCCUCUUGCUGGGGUGCUUGUUGGGGUCAAGGAUAAUAUAUGUACGUCCGAUAUGCCGUCCAGCGGUGGGUCCCGUAUUUUGGAGAAUUAUCGAGCGCCGUAUGAUGCAACGGCGGUCAGGAGAAUGAAGGAGAAGGGUGCCAUUGUGGUGGGAAAGACUAAUUUGGAUGAAUUUGGCAUGGGAAGUACCACUGAAGGUUCUGCUUUUCAGGUGACCUUAAACCCUUGGGAUCUGUCUCGGGUACCUGGGGGAUCAUCAGGAGGAUCAGCUGCAGCUGUUUCUGCUCGGCAAUGCGUAGUAUCACUGGGAAGUGAUACUGGUGGAAGCGUAAGACAGCCAGCAUCAUUUUGUGGUGUUGUAGGAUUGAAGCCAACCUAUGGGCGUGUGUCAAGAUUUGGACUUAUGG
rnacentral:misc_RNA from 1 species